UUAGAGCAUUACACGCAAUACAAAUAAUUGUAAAAAUACAACAAAUAAAAAAGUUGAUCGUCUCAGGGAAGUGAGGCUGCAGCUUCUCCAGAUCUGUAUCGGAUGGAUCAUUCCGAUACAGAUCUAUUAGCAGCACACAACAUGGACUACAAUGAACCGAAAGCAAUGUCAAUUGUGCUUGUCUACGUGUGAAGGUAGUCACGGUGUUCCUUAUACACAACUACAUAUAAACGCUGACAUACACACUCGUAUAUUGCUCUAAUGUUGUCCCACUUUAGUCUCCAAACAAACCAAGGCGCCCACUUUCCCUACUGCCGACGUUAGGGCAAUCGCAGCGCCAUCGAAACUACCUAGUGGGACUGGUAUGUCCAGUUUGAUCCACCUGGUCGAGACUCCGCCAAUCAUAAACGUGCCACACAGAGGUAUGUUGAGUUGUGUUGAACACUUCAUGCUCGACCCCACACUAGAUCCACUGAUGGCUACUGGAAGACUGUUUAACGUUUGACGAAAAUUGAUCAAAAACUUGGUUUGACAAACUUUGAGGCGCGUCAAUCUUUAGAAACAAGGAAGCACAUCGCUACUGGACAGCCAUUAUUUACAAAAGAUGGAAUCCAAGAAGAAACCAUUCUUCUUAAAGUUCCUGCAGCCGAAGAAGGCAGGUAAAAAGAAAGGGGGGAAAAAACUGGCCUACAGACGUAGCAUCUCGUUCCCUGACCUGCGGAUGCUGCCGGAAGCGGGCCUUCCGGACUCGCCGGGCCUCGCCAGCUCUCCCUCUCAAAGUGACAACGAAUCCAUUGCCAGUGAAAACGUCCCUUGCGAGCGGCCGUCCUCAGACAGAGCAAACUAUGACGUGGCCCCCGGGCUGCGGUACCCUCCCACCAGGGACUACGUGGACAACAGGAUCCCGGCACCUGCAGAGAGCUUCAACCUCUUCGACGACUCAGACUGUAUCAGGCGACGCAUGAACUCCUCCGGCAAAUGGAGCUUUCACAGUGAACCAGGCAGGGUCCCCAGAGCCAACGUGAUGGAGCCCGCGCCCUCUCUUCUGGCCCUUCCCGUCCCGUCGCCCAGACACGUCUCCGCCAACCAGCUGGUCGCACGGCUGGCGGCGUUGGACGGGAGGGAGAACUUCGACCGAUCGGACACCUCCUCCGUGGGGAUGUCGGAGGCGGUCUCCUCGGCGCUGUCCAGGGCCAGCUCCUUCGGGGAUCAGGUGAGGGGCCCGGCGUC
ensembl:lncRNA